rnacentral:rRNA from 1 species
GGGGGGGGCGGGGGGGGGGCGGGGCGCAUGCGGGGCGGGCGGGCGCUUUCGGGUGUCAGCGGCGGACGGGUGCGUAACGCGUGGGCACGUGCCCUCUGGUUCGGCCUAACUCCGGGCGACUUGAGCUACUCCCGGAUCCGCCCUUUUGUGGAAAGGCUUGCUGCCGGAGGAUCGGCCCGCGUCUGAUUAGCUAGUUGGUGAGGUAACGGCUCACCAAGGCGACGAUCAGUAGCUGGUCUGAGAGGAUGAUCAGCCACACUGGGACUGAGACACGGCCCAGACUCCGACGGGAGGCAGCAGUGGGGAAUAGUGGACAAUGGGCGCAAGCCUGAUCCAGCCAUGCCGCGUGAGUGAUGAAGGCCUUAGGGUUGUAAAGCUCUUUUAUCCGGGACGAUAAUGACGGUACCGGAGGAAUAAGCCCCGGCUAACUUCGUG